CCAGCCCCUCUGCCUUGUUCUGUCUCUCAAAGGCAUUGAGAUCCAGGACGCUGAGGGAAAGACAGGAAAGCUUCAGGGGGUCGGGAAAGUCAGCCGCCAGCAAGAGGAGAAUAAAGGCAGACAGGAC
ensembl:miRNA